ensembl:antisense Gm16045 predicted gene 16045
GAACAUGGGAAGACACGGGCUAGAAGAGGAAGCCCGUAGUUUCAGCCCCGGGUAUGGAGCAUAAAAAGCCUGGGAAAGAGGGUGCAGGAAGGACUUGCGGAAACAGCCGCUUGGCUUGCACAUCAGGAUCCCUGACCCCUGAGUCCAGGUACAGCCUCAGCAGGAAGCGACUCAGCAGUGGGGUGGCCUCCUAGGGAGGCUGUGGCUCCCUGCCCGGCACUAUUGCCCAGCACUUUGGACAGGAUGCUCCAGUCAGUGAGUGACAAGACCGGCCCCCUCAUAACAUAGUCAAGGGUAGAACCCAAUGGCUCAACUCUGUGUGGGCCUGUAUACAGUAUAUAUACAUUGUAUAUGCCAUCUAUACUAUAUUUAUGCUAUAUACUAUAUAUACACCUAUAUGCUAUAUAUCAUGUAUAUAUCAUACACACACAUAUAUUUUAUGUAUACUACACAUAUACUGUACACAUUGUAUAUGCAUUCCAUAUAUACUAUAUACACUGUAUACACUAUAUAUACAAUGUAUAUACCAUAUAUAUUAUAUAUAUAUCAUGCAUACAAUAUAUAAACCUAUGUACUAUAUAGUGUAUAUGCCAUAUAUGUGUGUAUGCACUAUAUGUGUACUGUAUAUAUACUGUAUAUGCAUUCCAUACACUGCAUAUACACUACAUAUACACUUUAUACAAGGUACAGUGCAAGUGAACUGUAGAAUCUUCCCCAGCCCCUAAGCUGUAGAAGUCACCAUCCUGGCAAAAUGGAGCUACUGUGGCCUCCCUAGAUGCUCAAGCCACGUAUCCUCCUGCAUUCCCUUCCCCUCAUCCUCAACAUCGAAACAGCUGGCCAGUGUAUCCCAAACUAUCCGGGGACCAGGCUAAGCACCUUUCCCUAGUAUCUAGCUGGAUGCUAUUUAACAGCGGCAAUCUAAGAGUUAAAAUAGCAUUUAGGACCUGACCCUUUUGCCUACAAGACAGUGGCUGAGUUCACUGGCUGCUUUCCAGGGGACCUGGGUUCAUUCACCAGCACCUACAGGGUAGCUCACAACUGUCUGUGACUCCAGCUCUCUCACACCAAUGCACAUCAAACCAAAUAAAUUAUUUUUUAAGGAGUCUUGCUUAUAUUACUUUAAGUAACUUGUUUAUUUUAAAUUAUAUUUAUGAAUUGUGUGUGUGCGCACGCGCACAUGUGCACAGCAUGAAUAUGGGUGGAGACAAACACGCAUUUGCACUGCUGCCCUUAGUUCUUCAGGGGUAGGCUCUGAAGUGUAACGGUAAGGUCAUGUGAUAAUUCCAUAUAGUAUCGUUUUAAACAAUAACUCAUAUAGUUCAUUCUUUUCAAACUUGUUUUAUGUAUCGGAGUGUUUACCUGCAUGUAUGUCUGUCUGUGCACAGCGAGCAUGCAGGAGCCCACGGAGGACAGGAGAAGGCAUAGAUCAUGGAUCUGGAGUCAUGGAUGGUUGUGAGAAGACUCAAGUCUUCUACAAGAGCAGAAGUCAUUCUUAACCACGGAGCCACCUCUCCAGCUCCUAUAGUUUAUUCCUAAUUCAACAAGUUCCUCUAGUUCGUACAGAAGUAUCUAAUUUUACAUUGUCAUAUAGAAUUUAAUAGUAGCGUCUCCAGAUUCCUCACAAACUCCCAUCCUCUUACAGUAUUGGCUCCUCCCUCUCCCGUGCUCUCCCCCCCACCCCCACCCCGGGCUCCUGACUAACCACCCACUUUCCUCUUCCUGACACCCCGGGCUUCCAGGCUUAGGUCACAUGCCCCCUGGGCCUCACUCACACUGAACAAACCCCUCACUGCCUCCUCCUGCUGCUCCGGCCUCAGCCAUCCACUAAGUUCACUGGCCUCUUGAUGCUUCCUGCCCCAGGACGGUUGUGCCAGCUAUCUCCCCCACUAGGACAUCCCCGAAUCUCUUCCCUGGUGAGUUUGUAAUUUCAGUCCCUGACAACAGAAUGGCCUUCCACAGACGCCCCUCACCCCAAACCUCAGAUACAGUUGCUAUCUCACCUCUAGACAUGCUACUGGGGCUCCCCAGCCCGAGUUCAGCCCACUGAAUGAUGGGGCACAAUAUCCUUUACUGGAUGGCAGUAUCCUAUGACUCCUGGUAGAGGAACUGGUCCAAACAGGCUUGAAGGGCAAGAAGCUCUCCCAUCACACGGAGACACCCCAGGAGCUCUCCCAUCACACUGAGACACCCCAGAAACUCUCCCAUCACACGGAGACACCCCAGUUUAGGUCAUCCUCUGCUAAGUAGUAAUUUGGACUACUUGGGAUCAUGUUGGAAAGAAAGGGAGGAAGGAAGGGAGUGGGGAGGAGAGAGGGAGGGAGGGAACAGGAAGGUUGGGAACACAGCCUGCGCAGCAGUCAUCACACCUAGGUGACCUGCCUGCUGCCACCACCUGCAGGGUCCCCCUCAGGGAGAAACAGAGAUGAGAGAGAUAAGCAGGAGGAAGAGGAAGUGAGAUGGGACACAGAGAGAGAGGGCUGACUCACACUGUCAGUCAAGGAACUAGACAUCAGCUCUGCAGAAGAGCAAGUAGGGAGGACCCAGGACCUCUCAUCACUGGAAGCUCACCCUGGCCCCCAGACAGGAAUAGACAAGACAUCAAUGUCUGCAAUGGCGACUGGCCUACAGGAACGUACACAUCUCCCCCUCCUCACCCUCUGCCUGAGAAGAGGUGCCAUGACAACCUGAAAAGCCAAAAUGAAAAGGUCUUAGCCGCCAAGGAACUGGAAUCCCAUCCACUAGGCCUGGGCCACGGAGUCUGCACACACAGCCUGGAAAGCCUCCUAAGACCAGAGGGUGGGGAUGGGGACUCUCUCAGAAACAUCCGGACUUUCUACCUCGGCCAGUGUGAUGGUUAAUCUCAAUAGUC